UACGCAGGGUGCAAGCGUUGUCCGGAAUUAUUGGGCGUAAAGAGCUCGUAGGCGGUUUGUCACGUCGGAUGUGAAAACCCGAGGCUUAACCUCGGGCCUGCAUUCGAUACGGGCUGACUAGAGUUCGGUAGGGGAGACUGGAAUUCCUGGUGUAGCGGUGAAAUGCGCAGAUAUCAGGAGGAACACCGGUGGCGAAGGCGGGUCUCUGGGCCGAUACUGACGCUGAGGAGCGAAAGCGUGGGGAGCGAACAGG
rnacentral:rRNA from 1 species